UUCUAUGGCCAUACCACCCUGAACGUGCCCGAUCUCGUCUGACCUUGGAAGCUAAGCAGGGUUAGGCCUAGUUAGUAUUUGGAUGGGAGACUUUUGACAAGAAAGUGAUGACAUUGCCC
rnacentral:rRNA from 1 species